CCUACGGGAGGCAGCAGUGGGGAAUAUUGGACAAUGGGCGAAAGCCUGAUCCAGCCAUGCCGCGUGUGUGAAGAAGGCCUUCGGGUUGUAAAGCACUUUCAGUGGGGAAGAAAGCCUUGGGGCUAAUACCCUCGAGGAAGGACAUCACCCACAGAAGAAGCACCGGCUAACUCCGUGCCAGCAGCCGCGGUAAUACGGAGGGUGCGAGCGUUAAUCGGAAUUACUGGGCGUAAAGCGCGCGUAGGCGGUCUGAUAAGCCGGUUGUGAAAGCCCCGGGCUCAACCUGGGAACGGCAUCCGGAACUGUCAGGCUAGAGUGCAAGAGAGGAAGGUAGAAUUCCCGGUGUAGCGGUGAAAUGCGUAGAGAUCGGGAGGAAUACCAGUGGCGAAGGCGGCCUUCUGGACUGACACUGACGCUGAGGUGCGAAAGCGUGGGUAGCAAACAGGAUUAGAUACCCCUGUAGUC
rnacentral:rRNA from 1 species